rnacentral:rRNA from 1 species
GACGAACGCUGGCGGCGUGCUUAACACAUGCAAGUCGAGCGGUAAGGCCCUUUCGGGGGUACACGAGCGGCGAACGGGUGAGUAACACGUGGGUGACCUGCCCUCAGCUCUGGGAUAAGCCUGGGAAACCGGGUCUAAUACCGGAUAUGACUCCAUGACGCAUGUUGUGGGGUGGAAAGCCUUGUGCGGCUGAGGAUGGGCCCGCGGCCUAUCAGCUUGUUGGUGGGGUGAUGGCCUACCAAGGCGACGACGGGUAGCCGGCCUGAGAGGGCGACCGGCCACACUGGGACUGAGACGCGGCCCAGACUCCUACGGGAGGCAGCAGUGGGGAAUCUUGCGCAAUGGCCGCAAGGCUGACGCAGCGACGCCGCGUGUGGGAUGACGGCCU